rnacentral:tRNA from 1 species
GUGAGUAUAGCUCAGUUGGCAGAGCACCAGGUUGUGGCCCUGGUGGCCGUGGGUUCAAGUCCCACUACUCACCCCA